AGAGUUUGAUCAUGGCUCAGGAUGAACGCUAGCGGCAGGCUUAACACAUGCAAGUCGAGGGGUAGAGGAAGCUUGCUUCCUUGAGACCGGCGCACGGGUGCGUAACGCGUAUGCAAUCUACCUUAUACAGGGGGAUAGCCCAGAGAAAUUUGGAUUAAUACCCCAUAGUAUAAUUGAAUGGCAUCAUUUAAUUAUUAAAGUUCCAACGGUAUAAGAUGAGCAUGCGUCCCAUUAGCUAGUUGGUGUGGUAACGGCACACCAAGGCGACGAUGGGUAGGGGUCCUGAGAGGGAGAUCCCCCACACUGGUACUGAGACACGGACCAGACUCCUACGGGAGGCAGCAGUGAGGAAUAUUGGCCAAUGGGCGCAAGCCUGAACCAGCCAUGCCGCGUGCAGGAUGACGGUCCUAUGGAUUGUAAACUGCUUUUGUACAGGAAGAAACACUCCCUCGUGAGGGAGCUUGACGGUACUGUAAGAAUAAGGAUCGGCUAACUCCGUG
rnacentral:rRNA from 1 species